rnacentral:piRNA from 1 species
CCUUAUGGAACUUAUUGGGCUUGCAGUA